rnacentral:rRNA from 1 species
GAGUAGAGUGGCGAACGGGUGAGUAACGCGUGGGUAAUCUACCUCCGAAUUGGGGAUAACAUUGCGAAAGCGAUGCUAAUACCGAAUGACAUCUCAAUCACUCCGGUCUUUGAGAUCAAAGAUGGCCUCUCCAUGGAAGCUACUGUUUGGAGAUGAGCCCGCGUACCAUUAGCUUGUUGGUAGGGUAAUGGCCUACUAAGGCGACGAUGGUUAGCUGGUCUGAGAGGAUGAUCAGCCACACUGGAACUGACACACGGUCCAGACUCCUACGGGAGGCAGCAGUGAGGAAUUUUGCGCAAUGGGGGAAACCCUGACGCAGCAACGCCGCGUGAGUGAUGAAGGCUCUCGGGUCGUAAAGCUCUGUCAAGUGAGAAGAACCUGCCCUUUGCUAAUAUCACUGGGCACUGACGGUAUCACUGAAGGAAGCACCGGCUAACUCCGUGCCAGCAGCCGCGGUAAUACGGAGGGUGCAAGCGUUAUUCGGAAUCACUGGGCGUAAAGAGCGCGUAGGCGGUUUCUAAAGUCAGAUG